rnacentral:lncRNA from 1 species
CUCUGGGAUGCCGAGUGGUGGUGUUCCAGUCGUCUGCCUCCUCUCACUUGUUGAAGUUCGGACCUUCUACUCGGUGAGCAAAGGAAAGACUGAUUCAAGUGUUUGUUUUCUGGUCUGAUGGUGGGCGAUAACCGGUUUCUGAGGUGCGAUGCCCCGGAGGACUGCGGCCGACGGGCAAGAGGUGGCGGCAAGUGAUGCCGCGAGGCCUUUUCUAUUUCACUUUGUUUUGAAGGAGGCUUUCGUUUGACCAGCGGCUUCAACUGCGUCCUUCAAUGUGGCUACCGCUCCGCGCGUUCCGUGUGAAUCCGCAAGCAACUAAGUUGGGGU